rnacentral:rRNA from 1 species
UAAAACGUAGGUGGCAAGCGUUAUCCGGAUUCACUGGGCGUAAAGCGCACGCAGGUGGCCUUGCAGGUAGGGCAUGAAAUCUCCCGGCCUAACUGGGAGCAGCUGUCCUAAACCGCCUGGCUGGAGGAUAGGAGAGGGGAGUGGAAUUGCCGGUGUAGUGGUGAAAUGCGUAGAGAUCGGCAGGAACACCAGUGGCGAAAGCGGCUCCCUGGCCUAUUCCUGACACUCAAGUGCGAAAGCUAGGGGAGCGAACGGGAUUAGAAACCCCGGUAGUCCUAGCUGUAAACGAUGGCGACUAGGUGUCGGGGGUAUUGACCCCCUCGGUGCCGAAGCUAACGCGUUAAGUCGCCCGCCUGGGGACUACGGCCGCAAGGUUA